rnacentral:rRNA from 1 species
AGUUGCUUCAAAAGUACCCGAAAGCGAGCGAUCUCAUCUUGAGCAGGUUGAAGGCGGGGUAAUACUUGACUGGAAGACCGAACUCGUCACUGUGGCAAUAGUGUGGGAUGACUUGAGAUGAGGAGUGAAAGGCUAAACAAGCUCGCUCAUAGCUGGUUUUUGGCGAAACGUAUGAAGGUACGUCCUAAUGUCAUCAUGAUGGAUUUUCAGGGAUCACCUAAUAUUCGGAGGAGUCUACGUCUUUACUGUUAUAAGGUAACCGUCAAGAAGACAUCCAUGGGCAUUAGAGUCAGGCUCUCGGUGCGAAGGCCGUGAGCCGAAAGGAGAACAAUCCAGCGAACUUGUUAAGGUCCCUAAAUAUAAACUGAGUGGUCACGAUGGUUUUUGCGCCAUGACCCCUAGAAGAUCGGCUUGGAAGCAGCCACUCUGGAAUGAAAGCGUAACAGCUCACUAGGAAAGCUCAAAAGCAUCUAAAUAAACGGGGCUGAAGUUUAUUACCGAAACAGUUCUGUGUUAAUGAC